rnacentral:rRNA from 1 species
UACAGAGGGUGCGAGCGUUGUUCGGAAUUAUUGGGCGUAAAGCGCUUGUAGGUGGCUUAUCAAGUCUCGUGUGAAAUCCCCAGGCUUAACCUGGGAAGUGCGCGGGAAACUGGUGAGCUUGAGUGCCGGAGAGGGUCGCGGAAUUCCCGGUGUAGAGGUGAAAUUCGUAGAUAUCGGGAGGAACACCGGUGGCGAAGGCGGCGACCUGGACGGACACUGACGCUGAGACGCGAAAGCGUGGGGAGCAAACAGG